rnacentral:misc_RNA from 1 species
GGGUUUGGCACUAGCAGAGAAUGGGGGGAUUCAAUGCUUUAUGAAGACUGGCAAUUUUAUUAAGUUGGUAUAUGGUUUACUGCCUUACUUGAAAAACAAAGUGAGGAACUAUGGAGAGAGAUCCUAGGUGUGUAAUAUUAAUAAUUUGGUCAAACAUGAUUUCAAGUUCUUAUUGCAUUAUAGUUAUACAUUUGCUAUUUGUUGGUGCGUGCUUUGUUUUUAUUGAAUAUUUGCUAAAAAAAUAUUUUCAUUGAGCUGCUAACCAUUUCAUUUGAUUUUUUAACCUGCAGUCACUGAAGACUUCUCCUGUC